GGAGGAGGAGGGUGCCCAGGCCCGCGCAGGGGGCGCCAGUUCGAGUUGCUGUUUUGUUCGCCGUCCUCCUGCACAAGGUCUGGGAAAGGCGGAGGCUGCUUCGGAUUGAAACCCAUCAGCAAAGGCGUGAGCUCGGAUUCUGCCCUGCACAAAACCAGGAUGUGCAGCGAAUUCUGCACAGGGGAAGAACCGUCUCUCUCUGGCCAACCUGACGUGCAUUGCUUGGCUCUGACAUCCGCCGUUUCCCCUUUGACUGCCUCACAGCCGUGGCUGAAUUGAACGACAGUCGGGCAAGGGAGGCUGUGCUGGGAGAGGGCCACUUUCCCAAGUGGUUGAGGACGGGCCUCCUGGGCAGCGGAAUGCGCCCCCGACUGAGAGAUUUUUGGUUUGAACUUUUGGGAUCCCAGGAUUAUUAGAAAGGCUUUCCCCAGUCCUUCUUCCAAAACGUAUUUCCAGGUGAAGCAUGGAUUCCCAGCUGUGUGAGACCAGAACCAGCCUGGGGAUGUAUUCUGGAUUGUGCUGGCACAAGAGCAUGGACACAUUCACACAUGAGACCUUAUUUAUUUCUUUAUUGUUCAAUCUCUACAGGUAUGCUGCCUUUCACAAGGCAUCCCAAGGCAGUUUGCAAAAGUUAAAAUAUAAAAUCACAUUUAAAAUCUUAAAAUCAGUUAAACAGUAAAAACCAUGAAACAACAACCAUUAAAAAAGAAAAGAAAAGACAACUGAAGCAGGAGAGCUGAGAGGCCUGGUAACCUUAAUGCG